GACGAACGCUGGCGGCGUGCUUAACACAUGCAAGUCGAACGGUAAGGCCCCUUCUUUGUUGGAUGGUCGAGUGGAGAAUCGCUCAGGACAGCGUCACUCACAUGACCUUGACUAUUCGCUAACUUCACCGCACUCGGGCUUAUCCAGCAUCGGAGAUCCUGGAUCUGUCGAGCGCUCGGUCAGUUUCAGAUGUUGUGCAUGGACUCGCGGCUGAUCAGCUUGUUGGUGGGGUAGUGGCUUACCAAGGCUUCGACGGGUAGCCGGCCUGAGCGGGUGACCGGCCACAUUGGGACUGAGAUAGGGCUCAGACUUGUACGGGAGGCAGCAGUGGGGAAUAUUGCACAACGGGCGGAAGCCUGAAGCAGCAACGCCCCGCGCGUGAUGACGGCCUUCGGGUGGUAAACCGCUUUCGCCUGGGACGAAGCGUGGGUGACGGUAAUUGGUAAAGAAGCACCGGCUAACUACGUG
rnacentral:rRNA from 1 species